rnacentral:rRNA from 1 species
GACGAACGCUGGCGGCGUGCCUAACACAUGCAAGUCGAGCGAUGAAACCCUUCGGGGUGGAUUAGCGGCGGACGGGUGAGUAACACGUGGGUAACCUGCCUCAAAGAGGGGGAUAGCCUCCCGAAAGGGAGAUUCAUACCGCAUAACAUUAGAUUUUCGCGUGCAGACCUAAUUAAAGGAGUAAUCCGCUUUGAAAUGGACCCGCGGCGCAUUAGCUAGUUGGUGAGGUAAAGGCUCACCAAGGCGACGAUGCGUAGCCGACCUGAGAGGGUGAUCGGCCACAUUGGAACUGAGACACGGUCCAGACUCCUACGGGAGGCAGCAGUGGGGAAUAUUGCACAAUGGGCGAAAGCCUGAUGCAGCAACGCCGCGUGAGUGAUGAAGGCCUUCGGGUUGUAAAGCUCUGUCUUUUGGGACGAUAAUGACGGUACCAAAGGAGGAAGCCACGGCUAACUACGUGCCAGCCGCCGCGGUAAGAC